CUUCGAUAUAUAUUAUUAUUAUAUUAAAUUAGAUUCAGGCUGCGAAUUUUUUGUCGCCCUGUGAUUACGGUCCCACAAUCUAAACUUUUAGUUUUGUCCUGUCUGACAGCGACAUUUACUCAAAAAAUAAUAGAAAAGGAGAGUAUCUUAAUUUUGUCGAAAACUUAUUUAUUCAGUAAAUUAAAUACGAAUUUAAGACGACCAAUCAAAUAGCGCUACGUUCCGGUAUUCAACGGAAUCUUCUACAAAUUCGUUAUCCAUUCCAAUCAUGAAAAAACUAAAGUUAGGUCUUGUCCAAAAAAA
rnacentral:lncRNA from 1 species